rnacentral:lncRNA from 1 species
AGUAGGCACACCUUGCUUGGCAGGUUGGUAUUCCAGCAUGUCGGGCUUGCCAAGGAAUAAGGACAUUGAUGGCGUUUUCUCUUCUAGAGGACUACAAAGCCCCUUCCAGCAUGAUGAAAGCUUCUUGUAUCAGGUAUAUGUGUGCCUGGUGCCUACAGAGUCCAGAAGAGGACUGGAAUUGGAGUUGAAAAUGGUAUGAGUCUCCAUAUGAGUGCUAGGACCUGAACCUGCAUCCUCAGCAAGAACAAGUGCUCUCGACUGCUGAGCCAUCUAUAGCUCCUCUUGUAUCUUUUAGACUUAUUAAUGAAGGGAUGUUGAAGUUUAUCAAAUACCCUUUUCUGUAUCUUUCAAGAUGAUGAUGAUGUUGCUUUUGAUGGAGAUGCUUUGGCGCAGCAGUAGAAACCCCAACUAAGAUCGUGCUUAUGUCAGAUUGGUUUCGUGAUAGAAUCGGAUCUGGACAGCAGUUUCCUUCAAUAAACGUCAGUGGAGCACCUUCUGGGUCCCUGGCAUGGAUGGACAGCAUCCCAAGAGGACUUUAGGUUGCCAUAUGAUUUGUUUCUCAACCAGCAUAUGAACUUUCCCAAGAUGAGGCAGGCCUUUUCAGUGUUACGCCCAAAUCCCAAAUCUAGGUGCAGAGUGCACAGCCAAAUCUCACCAAGCCUUCGUCUUCCUGAUAGAACAUGCUCGAUUUUAGCUGACUUCAUUCAGAAGUAGGAAUCAGAUACUAGUUGGCACAGCAGAAAAAAAAAAAAAAAAAAAAAAACCCAAAUCACCCUCUGGCAAGGAAGGCGUUAUGCAACUGCCUUAGAAGUAAAUUUACCUUCUUAAUUAUGGAUGCCUGUGGCUAUAAUUACAGAUAAGUAGCAUUUCCCACGUCUAAUCUUCUUCCUGCUUCCUUCUCUGAGCCCAUCGGGGUAACUCUCCUGGGCCUUCUAUUUAAUUCUCAGAGGUAGUGAGACAGAUUGAACGAACUUGCCUGACCGGAAGCUCAAAGGCAUCAGAGGUGGGGAGGGACAACACCGCUGAAGAAUCACCAUGUGGAACAGGGAAGCUUUGCUGACCUGCAGCGUCAGACUUCCAGACUGUCUCAACGUAGAGUGGCUUCCUGAGUCCUCCCGCCCUUCCUGGGGUUGUUCUGCAUUCAAUGGGUCAUGAGGCAGGCAUGCAAAACUUAUAUGAGCCGUGCCAGGCAGGUAUCACCCUGGAGUUCCAGAACAGGUGAAUAAACUUUCUCAGGCCUAAAUUAUAAACCAUUGUGUCCGGGGGCCGGAUUCCUGCAAAUACCCUAUUGGCUUCAGAAGUGUUGGUUCCUAUUAGACACAGAACAUUCUUGUCUUCUAAAAACAAACAAACAAACAAACAAACAAACCCCAAGCCUGUGGACAGAGGUUGGGAAGGUGAAGAGUAGGCCCUCUGUAGAUCCUGACAGCUUGGAAACUGAUCAUUUUCCAUGCCACGACUCUGAGCCCUUGUUCCAGUGGUUGACUAAGCAUGGCAGCGGUACACAGAGGUGCCGGCUCCAACCUCCAAAAGGCCUGACAGAAGCAACCCCACAUCUUUGUUCAGGGAAAAGACUUUACUUUCUAUCACACCCGACAGAGGAUCUUACUGUUUCUCUCCUCAGGCAUUUUCUGUUCUUUUGAUACCUUUUGCCUCCUGCCUGAACCCUGGAUGUAAUUCCCUUGCACAAAGCCCUCUGAAGAUGCUUAUAAAACUUGGAGCCAAGUCAAUCUACUUAAGCUCUACCUUUGCUUGGUCUCUUUAAGUUUAUCUCUCACAGCCCAGGUAGCUCAGCACUUCUCCUGCUCCUCACUUCGGCUCCUAAGAGGCCGAGAGGGCUUUCCCUGUUGCCUUGGCCCUCAGGGUUGGCAAAUGAAACAGUACCUACCAGCUCUGCGCUUUCUAAAGAGAGCCACCAGCUUUCUGGGGCCAAUUGAGAUGUGGCUAAGCAUACUCUGCUGUUUCCAGCAACCACCUCACCCUGCUCUCCCUGCUCCAGCCCACCCAGUCUCAGGAGAAGCAAGAAGAGAAGCAAAGAGAUGCUGAGGGAUUGUGAGGGCCAGCAGUAGGGUGUUCUGUCUUUGAGGGGGCAGUGAUACUUGCUUCACCGCACACUGCUGUGCUCUGAGAACCACAUCUCACCAUUCUAAAAAGAGAGGAUUUUGUGUGUGUGUGUGUGUGUGUGAACAUGGCUAUAGGUGUUUUAAAAUGAAUUUGCAUGUUAGAACAAUAUAUUGAUAAAAACAGAUUUAAAUUAAAUUUUAGAACUUAAGCUGGGUGGUGCUGGUGGCAGCCUUUAAUCUCAGCCCCUAGGAGACAGAGACGGAUGGAUCUCUUCAAGUUCAAGGGCAGCCUGGUGUACAAAGUGAGUUCUAGGACAAUGAGGUGCUAUAUAGAAAAACCAUGCCUAGAAACAAACAAACAAACAAACAAACAAAAUUUAAAACUUAAAAUGGUUCUUGGAUUCUGUUGUCUAAACGUAAAUGAUAACCAAAAACUUGAAAUUCAAGGGAUUGCUGAACUUAAAAAUGAGUAUUUCCUCACCCUGGGAGGGGAGGGGCAUGGGACACAGACUUUAACUCUUUUAUGGCCUGGGCCAAGUUGGAAUGUUGACACUUGGUUUGGCUGCACACAGUUUAUUGGAAGAAAUAGUAAGCCAAGUGCCUUGGAAAUGAUCAAGGGCAUACAUCCACCCAUCAUAUGCGUCAUAUCACCCUGGUUCCUUCACAUGCUCAAUGAAGAUAGGGAAGAUGGGAAGAAGGUCAUGGGGAUGUGGAUAUACGCUGUCUGGGUUUGAGGUCAGAUCCAUAGCAUGCUAGAUUAGGGACUUUGGGUGAGUCACUUAAUGGUUUUACAAUUCAUGUCCCUUAUUGUAAGAUGAGCCUAGUAACACACCGCUUUUGGUGUAACUGACGGGACUGGAUAAGUUAACACGUGUAAGAUACUUGGAAUGGUAGUGCAUGGUGCCAUGCCUCUGAUUAUUGCUUGCUGUCUGUGCUAAAGUUAAUGGAAGAAAAAGAUAUAUUCAUAAAGCCUUAGUACUGGGACUGGAGAGAUGGAUCAGUGGCUAAGAUUACUUCAUCCUCUUGCAGAGGACAGUGUGGUGCCCGGGACUCACAUUGCACUGUUCAUACUUGCCUGAAAUUCCAGUUUUCAAUUCCUCUUUCUGAAUCCACACACUUAUGAUACACAUACAAUUAAGC